GCAUGCCAAAAACGUUAGUGAGGCGAGGAUAAGAAAUAAAUUAUUCAUGCAUGAUCCUGCUUUCUCCUAAUAUGACUAGGUGAAUGAAUACUUCAACCUACGUCUAAUAUCACCAUCCUACUCCUAAGAUGAUUGGCUGAACCUGAGUAAAUUUUCCCAGAAUAUGACUUCCCUAUUCCUGUGAUAUUCCUAUCCCAUGAAUCAACGGAGGCCUUAAUAUGUAGGUCUUAUGUUCUCUCAGACAAUUCAACAUACUAUAUAGCCACCUUUCCUAUGCGGCUCUGCCUACUCAUCUCUCUAGAAACGUUUGAAGAAUCGACUCCCCAUGUCCAACAUAAUCUGGUAAGCUAAAUCCUAGCAGUCUAAAGAGUGAUGAUGUAUGCCUACAAAGAUUAAAAAUAUGGGCGGAGGAUCCUGUCUCUGAAACAUAUCAACUGUCUAAUGCCCAACCUUCAAAUUUUCCAAGCUAUCAGUAACAACGCUGGUGACAGAUACUCUGGCUACAAAAGAAAUUGUUGUUUCGUCACUGCACUCUCAUUCAUUACCCACUAGGAAAAUUCCCAGUUUAACAGGGCGUUAGCCUUCAUAUUUUACGAGCUAUUAGCAAACUAGGUUCCUGGUUUCCUGUCAGACACACUGCCCCCCAAAAGCAAAAACUAUUCCCUCACUGAUGCCCCACUAGGCAAGUCCCGGCUUAACAGUACAUAUGAUUCACUAAAUUCCUAAUAACAAUGGAGCGCGCUGACAAUGAAAAAGUACGAAACCAACACAAGGCAGUCCAAAUAUAAAAAUUGCACGGUAGCCAAUCAAUAAUACUGGCUACAGAUAAAGAUUCCACGGUAGAUGGAUGAAGGCAAGAAACUAAAAA